rnacentral:rRNA from 1 species
UCAACGGAGAGUUUGAUCCUGGCUCAGGAUGAACGCUGGCGGCGUGCUUAACACAUGCAAGUCGAACGAGGUCCAACCUUCGGGUGAAGACCGAGUGGCGAACGGGUGAGUAACACGUGGGCAAUCUGCCCUUCUCUCUGGGAUAACCCCCGGAAACGGGAGCUAAUACCGGAUACUUCGAGAUGAUCGCAUGGUCGACUCGAGAAAGCUCCGGCGGAGAAGGAUGAGCCCGCGGCCCAUUAGCUUGUUGGUGAGGUAACGGCUCACCAAGGCAACGAUGGGUAGCCGAGCUGAGAGGCUGAUCGGCCACACUGGGACUGAGACACGGCCCAGACUCCUACGGGAGGCAGCAGUGGGGAAUCUUGCGCAAUGGGCGAAAGCCUGACGCAGCAACGCCGCGUGCGGGAUGAAGGCCUUCGGGUUGUAAACCGCUUUCAGCAGGGAGGAAAUUGACAGUACCUGCAGAAGAAGCUCCGGCUAA